CGGCGGACGGGUGAGUAACACGUGGGUAACCUACCUAUAAGACUGGGACAACUUCGGGAAACCGGAGCUAAUACCAGAUAAGAUAUCGAACCGCAUGGUUCGAUAGUGAAAGAUGGUUUUGCUAUCACUUAUAGAUGGACCCGCGCCGUAUUAGCUAGUUGGUGAGGUAACGGCUCACCAAGGCAACGAUACGUAGCCGACCUGAGAGGGUGAUCGGCCACACUGGAACUGAGACACGGUCCAGACUCCUACGGGAGGCAGCAGAU
rnacentral:rRNA from 1 species